UCGUCUAGGCCUGCGCCUCGGCACCCCCUCGUUUCGCCUCCAUCUGUGCAGCAACAACAGCGCGACACUCCAGCGCCGCCAGCUCGUCAGGUCCUUUCCACGCGGGCGUCUUCCACCAGCCACCAAACCAUUUGAUCAAUCUCCCAGUGUUGCUAUCGUUGGUGCUGUGUAUGUGCUAUGGUGAAUUGGUGAAACCGUGCACGCCCUUCAAGUUCUCCGACGCCGGUUACCAAGUUCUUCAUUACGUUGUGUUGUUGUCCGCCGACAAGGCUCGUCGCUUCCGCAACGCCAAGCUCAAGCUCUCUAGUGGAAAUGGUGCCACACGAAGACCCCUCGCGCCGAUUCAAGUUCGGCACCGAUAAACGAAACCGAACCCGAAGACCUUCGUCACGGAAAUCUCAAGUUCUCCUUCACGGAUUCAAAGUCCGAGACCUCGCUUCAUCUUCUUCCUCUCCGAACCCGAAUCCGGCGACCGCCUUUGUUCCGAUAUCCAUUUGCUUCUUCACGGAUAGGAUCACGAAGUGUUGAUGUGAGAUACGAC